rnacentral:rRNA from 1 species
GAUGAACGCUGGCGGCGUGCCUAAUACAUGCAAGUCGAGCGAACAGACGAGGAGCUUGCUCCUCUGACGUUAGCGGCGGACGGGUGAGUAACACGUGGAUAACCUACCUAUAAGACUGGGAUAAAUUCGGGAAACCGGAGCUAAUACCGGAUAAUAUAUUGAACCGCAUGGUUCAAUAGUGAAAGACGGGUUUGCUGUCACUUAUAGAUGGAUCCGCGCCGCAUUAGCUAGUUGGUAAGGUAACGGCUUACCAAGGCAACGAUGCGUAGCCGACCUGAGAGGGUGAUCGGCCACACUGGAACUGAGACACGGUCCAGACUCCUACGGGAGGCAGCAGUAGGGAAUCUUCCGCAAUGGGCGAAAGCCUGACGGAGCAACGCCGCGUGAGUGAUGAAGGUCUUCGGAUCGUAAAACUCUGUUAUUAGGGAAGAACAAAUGUGUAAGUAACUAUGCACGUCUUGACGGUACCUAAUCAGAAAGCCACGGCUAACUACGUG